rfam:Nicotiana attenuata strain TT scaffold04655, whole genome shotgun sequence.
UGGAUAGAUUAUUGUAUUCUACUGUAUUCGGCUGUAUUCACAGCGUGAAAUAGGGGAUUAUACUAAUUUUUAAACGGAAAGUGAAUCAAUUAACAUAAUAGACUCCU